UACGUAGGUGGCAAGCGUUAUCCGGAAUUAUUGGGCGUAAAGCGCGCGCAGGUGGUUUCUUAAGUCUGAUGUGAAAGCCCACGGCUCAACCGUGGAGGGUCAUUGGAAACUGGGAGACUUGAGUGCAGAAGAGGAAAGUGGAAUUCCAUGUGUAGCGGUGAAAUGCGUAGAGAUAUGGAGGAACACCAGUGGCGAAGGCGACUUUCUGGACCAUAACUGACGCUGAGGCACGAAAGCGUGGGUAGCAAACAGG
rnacentral:rRNA from 1 species